rnacentral:rRNA from 1 species
UUGUUGCGGUUAAAACGCUCGUAGUUGGGUUUCUGUCGGGAACAGCUUGUCUGCCCAAGUGGCGAGAACUUGUUCUGUUCCUGGCAUCUUCUUGGGGAACAAGUGCGCACUUCAUUGUGUGGCUCGGAAACCAGGACGUUUACUUUGAGGAAAUGAGAGUGCUUCAAGCGGGUGUCCGCCACGAAUACGUUAGCAUGGAAUAAUAGCAUUGGACCUCGGAUCAUAGCUGUUGGUUGCUAGAACCGGGGUGAGGGUAAACAGGGACAGUUGGGGGCAUUCGUAUUUAACUGUCAGAGGUGAAAUUCUUGGACUUGUUAAAGACGGACUACUGCGAAAGCAUUUGCCAAGGAUGUUUUCAUUGAUCAAGAACGAAAGUUAGGGGAUCGAAGACGAUCAGAUACCGUCCUAGUCUUAACCAUAAACUAUGCCGACUAGAGAUUGGAGGCUGUUGCUAUUCCGACGC